CGGCGAACGGGUGAGUAACACGUGGGCAACCUGCCUCUAGCACUGGGAUAACUCCGGGAAACCGGGGCUAAUACCGGAUACGACCUCUGAGGGCAUCCUCCGGAGGUGGAAAGCAUUGUGGCUAGAGAUGGGCCCGCGGCCUAUCAGCUUGUUGGUGAGGUAACGGCCCACCAAGGCGACGACGGGUAGCCGGCCUGAGAGGGCGACCGGCCACACUGGGACUGAGACACGGCCCAG
rnacentral:rRNA from 1 species